rnacentral:rRNA from 1 species
CUGAAUCAAUCGUGUGCAGAGGGGAAUAGCAGGUUAUGCGUCUCCGUUAGAGACUACUACUGUUACAUGCUGCAAACAAGACCUGCGAUCUUCAACCCAAUACUCUGUGGAGCACGCCUACUGCAGCAAUGGGCGGUUGACAUGUACAUCAAGAUUGAGAGCUGUCGGUUGAGGUGGUAUAGGAAGAACCAGACGCAGAUCCGUGCCGAUUUGUAUAAAGGAGUUGUUGAUGCGAUAACAUCGGGGGAGACACGAGCAAGCGCUGUUGGGGUGAGAAUAGUUCUCCCUGGAACUUACCCUGGUGGUGACCGCGACAUGAAGAAGAGACAUAUGGAUGCCAUGGCAAUUGUCCAUACACACGGGAAGCCUGACAUCUUCUUGACCAUGACUUGCAACCCUAAAUGGGAAGAGAUAAUAAAUGAGUUGCUUCCCGGACAGACGGCGCAAGACUGA